GUACUAAGCAUUGCUUUCCAUGACGACUACAGCCUCUCUUGGACCCUCACUCAGAGCUACUAAAGGGAAAGAGGCAGGAAGGGGUAUUGCAAAAGUUUUGCUCUCUGUUAUCUCUUACAUUAUUUACUAAUAUGUAAAGCCUUUUGAGUUUUAUUCUUUAUCUGUUUUGACUAAAAAUAUUUUUUUAAAAAGCCAAGAAUUUUUUCUUCUUGCUCUUCCUGGAAGAUCCUUAGCCCUGACUUGGAAGAAGAACUCAUGUAGAGGUACUUGACAUUCUACUUUUGCCGAGACUUACUUUAACAACCAUUUAACAACCAACAGCAUCUGCUGAAUUCCUUGAGUGAUGCAGGACGUCUUCUCUCAACACUCAAAAGUGGAAAUGAGAACUUAAAGAAAAUUAUUGAGUGGAAAACACUUUUAGCCCCUGAGAAAUAAAAAACUUCUAAGUGAAAGAUGGUCAUUCUCUGGUCACCUUUAAAGAGGUUUAGAUCAGCUCAUGCAGAGGGGAAAAAAGUCACCAACAGGUGCUACUGGAAGGUACAGAGCUCUCUUGCUCAAUUCCUUAACCAUGGUACAGAUUUCUUCUGCUUACCUGGAAAGGACAGGGACAAGCAAUGCUAGUUCUGCCAGCCAAACCCUGAUUCUACUGACAAGAUUGUGAGACUGAGAUGGUAUGUCUACAGCAUCGACUACAGUGACCUAGCCAGAUGCAAAAUUUCAGGAUUAGCUCUUCAGAUGACAAGCCAGAUACCUGACCAUGAGGACCUGUGUUCAAAAUAGGUCUAUCUAUGUAUUGAAUCUAUGUAGGUAUUACCAAGUCAACAUCUCCCAUAGAAUUUGGAUUUUCUUAUGCAAUUAUGUGAUAUCUACAGUGUUUCAUUGAGGAGACCUCUGUACCUGUGUCUGCAAAAGGCCACAAAGAUAAUGGUGAGAAAAAAAUCUUCUCCCACCCUGCUAGCAUCAAGGGAUAUCACACAUUUCUGUAAUAUUAAUUAGCUCCUGCACAGCACUAAGAAGCAUCCUCACUUUAUGCUUUUACAGUAGGGAGAGACUGAAACCUAUAUUUUACAGGUGCAGAAUUUCAGUGGGGCAGAAAAUAAGUGACCUCCUCAAGGCAAUGCAGUAAUUUAGCACAAUAAACAAAAUGGAUAUUUAUGGAUCUGCCAUGACUGACAUUCAGACCACCACACACUCCCACACACUGCAGGAAAGGGUGGGCAGGACACAGCCACGACAAUGUGCUGGAACCCAAAUGUCCAACCUGCAAGCACUGCUGGAAACGGGAUGGUUGAAUAUGGCAGAAAGAGGAAGAUUGGUUAAACAGAGCAGCAAAUACACUUGUCAUUGGCUUCAGAGGGGUUGGGGAGGUCCUCUACCAGUGCACUGUGCCCUCUUCUAUGGUUUCAGCUCUCUGUACGGCAAGUGCCUGACCAAUUUGCUCAUUCAAGGUAAAUGUAUGGCUAAUUCCCAAAGUAACAUGACUCUUGCUUAGAUUCUGAGGCAUUUAACUUCUACAGCAUCUGAGGGCAGAUGACUCACUUCUUCCACAAUUCUGAGUGAUGUCAGCUGUGUAAGUCAUGCAUGAUUUACUUUCCAAAUGAUCUUUUAUUUAUGUCACAGAUGGAAUUAAAACAGAAAAGCUCUGCUUCCAUGGGAGAACUGAGAUAUCCCUUCCGAGAGCAGAUGUGCUAAACAAAAAAUGGCUACUGUGACCCAAUC